rnacentral:lncRNA from 1 species
CCCAUUUCUUAGCUGGAUGGGUGAAGUGUUCCCUCAGUUCACAUAGACCAGGCUUCCUCUUUAGAGGCAUAAGCUGUAAAACAGGAGAGUCUGUUUUAAGAGGAUCUGUUUGAAGUUUAAUGUAACUGAAGUCCAUGCACCUGAAGCCAUUAAUUGAUAUAAGUGAAGUAAGUCUUUGGGUUUCCGGUAGCUCUGACUCAGAUUCUGCUUGCCUCUUCUCCAUGAGAUUACCAAGGCAUCAGGGCAGAGACUCCCUGAGGAUGAGUGGAUCUGGUUCAGAACAUCUGUGAACACAGAGGGAGUGGAAACUUCACUUUCAACAUCAUCAGCCAACUUCCCUCCCAUUACAAUUCUAUCUCAAGAUCAAGGUCAUGCAACAAAACCAGCAGUGGCCACAUCCACUACUCCUACAGUUCCGUUUCAGAGGCCAUCGGAGCUCUACAUCUAUUAUUUACUACCGAUAUCCACAUCAAGCCUCCCUCCCUUGCUCUUCAUGAAAUGCAUCCACGAUGGGACAUUGAUCUCAUUAUUCUGUGAGGAUCUGGUUGUUUGUCUGCAUCUUUCUCUACAUCUGGGAUCUGAAAUUUUCUUAUUGGAUAACGAAUCCCCAUCACAUACACACAUGAUAAAUAUUUGUUUAAUGGAAAAACAAAUGCAUGAGAGUGGCAUGAUGAAAACAGGUGAGUCUGGAUUAAAGCAAUUGGUCAUCUGUUUGGUCCAAUUCCCAGCAACCCAGGUUUGCAAAAGUGUGUGUUGCAAGAGCUGCUCUUGCUAUGAAAUGAUGCCAUGAAUGUAUAACCUGUUACUUACUUUAGAAUCCUUUUUACUUAAAAAAUAAUCUGACAAUGUCCAUUUCAAUACGUGGUUUUAAUGACAUGACCCCCUAACUACACUUUCUGAUCUGCAAAUUCCUGUUCUCAUGUAUUGUAUGGUUUUACAAACUGCACCUGUUUGAAAUGAACACAAAG